rnacentral:rRNA from 1 species
GAUGAACGCUAGCGGCAGGCUUAAUACAUGCAAGUCGAGGGACAGCACAGGUAGCAAUACUGGGUGGUAACCGGCAAACGGGUGCGGAACACGUACACAACCUUCCUUUAAGUGGGGGAUAGCCCAGAGAAAUUUGGAUUAGUACCCCGUAAUAUAGUUGAAUGGCAUCAUUUGAUUAUUAUAGCUACGGCGCUUAAUGAUGGGUGUGCGGCUGAUUAGAUAGUUGGCGGGGUAACGGCCCACCAAGUCUACGAUCAGUAGCUGAUGUGAGAGCAUGAUCAGCCAAACGGGAACUGAGACUCGGGCCCGACUCCUACGGGAGGCAGCAGUAAGGAAUAUUGGUCAAUGGACGCAAGUCUGAACCAGCCAUGCCGCGUGAAGGAUUAAGGUCCUCUGGAUUGUAAACUUCUUUUAUUUGGGACGAAAAAGGGUCUUUCUAGGUCAACUGACGGUACCAGAUGAAUAAGCACCGGCUAACUCCGUGCCAGCCGCCGCCGUAAUAC